UUUUUGGUGGCUGAUUUUAGGCGAUAGAUUGUAAAUCUUUUUAUGGUAUUUUCCCCUUAAAG
rnacentral:tRNA from 1 species